CGUGAGGGAAAGGCGAAAAGAACCCCGGCGAGGGGAGUGAAAAAGAACCUGAAACCGUGUACGUACAAGCAGUGGGAGCCCCACCACUAAGCCAGUGGUGAACUCCACAUACGCAUCCUUUGCUGAGGAUACGGUUAACGGAGCGAAAGCGACGUUCAACCGCAAAAGAAGCAGAGGGGGCUUAGUGGUGGGGUGACUGCGUACCUUUUGUAUAAUGGGUCAGCGACUUAUAUUCUGUAGCAAGGUUAACCGAAUAGGGGAGCCGGAGGG
rnacentral:rRNA from 1 species